rnacentral:rRNA from 1 species
ACGAACGCUGGCGGCGUGGAUAAGACAUGCAAGUCGAACGGGAUUUUCUCUGGUAGCAAUACCGGGGAAAAUUUAGUGGCGAACGGGUGCGUAACACGUGGGGAAUCUGCCGAGAAGUGGGGGAUAGCUCGUCGAAAGGCGAAUUAAUACCGCAUACGAUCAGGGACGACAUCGUUCCAACAUCAAAGCCGGGGCAACCUGGCGCUUCUUGAUGACCCCGCGGCCUAUCAGCUAGUUGGUGAGGUAACGGCCCACCAAGGCGAUGACGGGUAGCUGGUCUGAGAGGACGACCAGUCACACUGGAACUGAGACACGGUCCAGACACCUACGGGUGGCGGCAGUCGAGAAUUUUUCUCAAUGGGGGAAACCCUGAAGGAGCGACGCCGCGUGGAGGAUGAAGGCUUUCGGGUUGUAAACUCCUGUCAUUUGAGAACAAUGCCCCGGCAUUAACUGUGUCGGGGUUGAUAGUAUCAGAAGAGGAAGGGACGGCUAACUCUGUGCCAGCAGCCGCGGUAAUACAGAGGUCCCAAGCGUUGUUCGGAUUCAUUGGGCGUAAAGGGUGCGUAGGUGGCGUCGUAAGUCGGGUGUGAAAUUUCGGAGCUCAACUCCGAAACUGCAUUCGAUACUGCGGUGCUUGAGGACUGGAGAGGAGACUGGAAUUUACGGUGUAGCAGUGAAAUGCGUAGAGAUCGUAAGGAGGACCAGUGGCGAAGGCGGGUCUCUGGACAGUUCCUGACACUGAGGCACGAAGGCCAGGGGAGCAAACGGGAUUAGAUACCCUGGUAGUCCCUGGCAGUAAACGGUGGCACUAGUUGCCUGUGGGAGGAUCGACCCCUCCGGGCCGGCGCUAACGCGUUAACGUGCCCGCCUGGGGAGUACGGUCGCAAGCUUAAAACUCAAAGGAAAUUGACGGGGGCCCGCACAAGCGGUGGAGCUAUGUGGCUUAAUUCGACUGCAACGCGAAGAACCUUACCUGGCUUGACAUGCAUGCUAAGCUGGUGAAAGCCCCACGUGAGCCUCGUCGAAGUACACCUGCACAGGUGCUGCAUGGCUGUCGUCAGCUCGUGUCGUGAGAUGUUGGGUUAAGUCCCGCAACGAGCGCAACCCCUUGUUGAAUGUGCCAGUCAUUGAGUUGGAAGCACUUGUACGAGACUGCCUGUGACAACCGGGAGGAAGGUGGGGAUGACGUCAAGUCCGUCAUGGCCCUUAUGGGCAGGGCUGCACACGUCAUACAAUGGUCCAGUACAGAAGGAUUCCGAGACCCGCGAGGUGGAGGCCAAUCCAGUAAAGCCUGGGCUCAGUUCCGGAUCGCAGGCUGCAACUCGCCUUCAUGAAGCCGGAAUCGCUAGUAAUCGCGGAUCAGCAUGUCGCGGUGAAUACGUUCUCGGGUCUUGUACACACCGCCCGUCACACCAUGGGAGCGGGUUCCACCAGAAGUAGGUAGCCUAACCGCAAGGAGGGCGCUUACCACGGUGGGGUUCGUGACUGGGGUG